rnacentral:rRNA from 1 species
ACCGAUAGUUGACAAGUAGAGUGAUCGAAAGCUGAAAAGUAUCCUUGACGGGAUGUGAAAAGUACCUGAAACCAGUUAGGAACAGGCUGAGUGAGCGUGAAAGCGAUGAUAUGAGCAGCGUUCACUCGUGCGUUUCGAAAAAUGCCCCUGGGAGUCUUGAUUAUUGGCGAGGUUAAGCAGUUAAUCUGCGAAGCCGUAGGGAAACCGACAAGUCCGCAGCCCUUCGGGGUGAGGGACGGGAUGUGCUCGUCCGAAGUCAAUAGUGGAGAACCUGAAGCCUGUCGAUCUAUGCCUGGCCAGAUUGAAGCCCGACGAAAGUUGGGUGGAGGAUCGCACCGUUGCUGAUGUGCAAAUCGCUCGGACGAGCUGGGUAUAGGGGUGAAAGUCCAAUCGAGAUAGGCAAUAGCAGGUUCCGCGCGAGACUACUCGUAGGUAGACCUCUGUAGAGACAGAUUACGCUGUAGAGCACUGAUUGGGUGUUUAGGGAGAGCAAUCUCUCGGCAUCCUGCCAAACUCCGAAGGUGUAAUCGUUGAAGAAGCAGGGAGUGAGCCACGGUGGGUAAGCUACCGUGACGAAAGGUGAACAAACCAGCCUAGUGUUAAGGUCCCAAAAUUCCAACUAAAUGUAAAGAUAAACCGUGUCCGUGGUCGAAGACAACUAGAAGGUGGGCUUAGAAGCAGCCACCCUUGAAAGAGUUCGUAACAGAUCACUAGUCAAGCUUGCGGGCCGGGAAAAGGGACGGGGCUAAGUUGGAUACCGAUACAUUAGACCAGCGAAAGCUGAUGUGGUAGCGCGGCGACAUGCUCGGACAGAAGCGAGGCUGUGAAGUCUCGUGGACCGUGUAUGUAUGAGAAUCCAGGGAAGAGUAGCAGCAAAGUGUGGUGAGAAUCCGCACCACCGGAGGGGCCAGGGUUCCUCGGCAAUGAUCGUCAGCCGAGGGUUAGCCGGUCCUAAGGAUAUCCUUAACCGAGAUAUUCGAAAGGGAAAUGCGUUAAUAUUCGUAUGCCUCUAUACAAUAAUGGUGACGGCUUUGGUUAGUUCGGCGGGUCAUAUAGCAGGCCCGUGAAGCGUACAAUAAUCGAUUGGAGAACCGUCAUGGUGAGAAGAUCGAGAAGGCGUGAAAGUAAUCCGAAUAAUACCAAGGUCCCGUGAAAAACCGUAUAGAUGACCGUACCGAGAACUGACACAGGUGCCCCUGGGUGAGUAGCCUAAGGUGUGACGGAAAAACAACCGCGAGGGAACUCGGCAAAAUCGCCCCGUAACUUCGGGAGAAGGGGUGCCAGCCUUGAGAAAGGCUGGUCGCAGUGACUAGAGGACUCCGACUGUUUAAUAAAAACAUAGGAGACUGCCAGUCCGAAAGGAUGUGUAUAGUCUCUGAAUCCUGCUCAGUGCCGGUAUCUGAAAUCGGGGUACAACCUGACGAAGGACCGGUAAACAGCGGGGGUAACUAUGACCCUCUUAAGGUAGCGUAAUACCUUGUCGCUUAAUUGGCGACUUGCAUGAAUGGUCUAACGAGAGUCCUACUGUCCCCGCGGUUGGUCCGGCGAAAUUGACUUUACUGGCGCACAGUCCAGUACCUUCAGCCUGCAAGCGAAGACCCCAUAGAGCUUUACUGCAGCCUGUCGUUGUGUAGUGGCACUCCACGUGCUGCGUAGACGGGAGACAUUGAUCCACCAGGCGCCAGCCUGGUGGUUAGUCGACAAGAGAGACACCGUCCUUGAAGUGCAACUACACUCACUCUUAACGAGGACACCGGUAGGUGGGCAGUUUGGGUGGGGCGCCACGCGCUCGAAAUGAUAACAAGCGUGCCCAAAGGUCAGCUUAGGUGGUUCAGUCUCCACCGCUAAAUGUAAGGGUAAAAGCUGGCUUGACGUGGAUCGGCACAAUAACGAUCGACGAUGCGA